CGCCCGUCGCUCCUACCGAUUGGGUGUGCUGGUGAAGUGUUCGGAUCGGCGAUUGUAGAUGGUUCGCCAUCGGCUGUUGCUGAGAAGUUCAUUAAACCCUCCCACCUAGAGGAAGGAGAAGUCGUAACAAGGUUUCC
rnacentral:rRNA from 1 species